UAUUAAAAAAUUCAUCCAUUUUCUACCGUUAGAAACCGGUGUGGCUGACAGAAUAACACGCCAUGUGUACAUCAUAUCAUUCUAACAUAUACCAGUUUUUGACAGUAGAAAUGAAUGAAUUUUUAACA
rfam:Gossypium hirsutum cultivar TM-1 chromosome 19, whole genome shotgun sequence